rnacentral:lncRNA from 1 species
AAAACCUAGAAUAGCAGAUAGGUGUUGGCGUUGUGACAGAGUCGACGACUAUCGGGCCUGAUAUAGCUAUUGACUGUAUAAAAUUUUGUAGAAGCAGUCCAAGUAAUCAGGUACACAUAUCUUUCCAUUACUUACGGUGGUGUAGUUAAUUAAAUAAAUUGGAAUUUAUGCCUUUUCAAUAGCUAGACAAUAAUUGGGUUCCUAAUGAUGGAGUAAUAAUUAAAAACUUGUAAAGAUUUGAUAUAAGGUUAGAAUGCAAAAACGAGGUAUCAGUUUAUGUUGCACUACCAAUUAUAAAUCUCUAAUAUUAAGUAUACUAGAUAUAGAAUUAAUCAGCUAAUGAUUGGGUAAUUAUUAUUGAAUGUGAAAUAGUAUAAUGAAAUAAUGUAGUCAAUUUUGUAGCAUGAGAAGUCAUAUUUUUUUGAGCUGCUGGGUAAUAUGUGAGGCUACAGUUCGACAACUUUGUUUUUCACUAUUGAAUCUGCCGCAUUUGAUAUUCGGGUUCGGGCGUGAAUGGGUAAACGGAUUUUGGUCCGAAUCUCGAGUUUGGACCAAGCGAGCCUGAAGUCGUUUUUUAAUUUUUUUUUGAGAAAACAUAGGAAAAAUUAUAAUUUUCAGUAAAGUUAGUUCCUUUAGCAUUAAUUAAUGAUAUUAACCUAAUUAUGAUUAGAUUCGAGCGGAUUAGAGCAAGAUUCUAAAGGAAAAGCUGUAAUUGAGCAGUGAGUGGCCUGGGAAUUUGAGGUAAGUGGUUGGUCUAACUUUGACUUGAGGGAAUAAGAAUCCCCACUUGUUUUCUAUGUGAAAUGCAUGUGUGUGGUGUAUAGGUGAGGUGACAAGUAUCUAUGCACCACCAAAUGGUCUGUUAAACAUGAUCCCUUUCCCGUUUCCAAUUUAAUGGAUUCCUGUCUUAAUAGUUCUAUGUUCAUUAUUAUUUUUGUGACUAUUGGCCUUGUUAUUUGGGUGUUAAAUAUUGUUGUGGUUAUUUUGGAAAGAGAAUUGGUUGUUUAUUUGGUUCCCUUGUGGUACAAAACGGUGGAGCAGUUGGCAUUAUUUUUACGAUAUAUAUAUAUAUAUAUAUAUAUAUAUAUAUAUGUAUGUAUGUUCCUGUUGGUUUCAUGGUUGAGAGGAUAUUGAUGAAGUUUAUGAGAAAACAUAGUUUCUUAUUUGUAAUUGUUGAAACUAAAAUAUUGUGAAAGGCUUGGCCUGAAUUGUGAAAGUUUUUGAUGAAUAAACAAAAUUGAUUGUGAUAAGGGGGCGAAAUAGAUUGUGAUAAGGGUGAAUAAUUAUGUUUUACUGUUUUUAAUUAUAAAGAUUUGGGACAGUCUUUCUCAUAUUUUGUACAUGUGGGUAUUUUAAGGUAAAGUUGGGAAAUGGAAAAUUUAUUGGAGUAUUGGUCCUAGCUGAGACAUGGAAAGGGUGACUGAAUUAAUUCAAAUGGUUGUUGCAGCUAUUAUUAUUUAAUUGUUUUAGUUUUUUUUCUUGCUUUAUUAUUUAUUAUUGUCAUAGGUUAUAUUGUUAAUGACCCGCCGUAGCCUCGUCACUACUUCGUCGAGGUUAGGCUCAGUACUUAUUUAGUACAUGAGUUCGGUUGUACUGAUACUACACUCUAUGCUCUUUUGCAUAGAUCCAGGUACUGGCCAAUAGUAGAGGUUGUUAGAGCAACUAUCCAUUCCUUCGGAGACACGAGGUAUAUCUGCCGGCGUCCGCGGAUCUCAAGAGUCUUCUCUAUAUUAUUUAGACUACUGUUUUAUUUGAUUCAAAACAGUUAUACAUUAUUUCUUCCAGCCCAUUAUUUGUAGUAUUCUUUAGUAGUUCGUGAGUUGUAACACCAGACCCUGGGGUAGUUUUAAGUUAUUUAUAUAAUUAGUCUCGUGGC